AAUUAUAUAUUUAAUUUCAUUCGUAUAUUCUUAGAGAUAUGGUCUAAGAGUUUCUACUAGGAGCCGUAAAAUCCUAACUACGAGUGGGUGGAUUCCUCUG
rnacentral:ncRNA from 2 species